GACGAACGCUGGCGGCGCGCCUAACACAUGCAAGUCGAGCGAUGAAAUUUUAACCGAUCUCUUCGGAGAGAAGAUAAAAUGGAUUAGCGGCGGACGGGUGAGUAACACGUGAGAAACCUGCCUUUCACAAGGGGAUAGCCUCGGGAAACCGGGAUUAAUACCCUAUGACACAUUUCCUUCGCAUGGAAGAAAUGUUAAAACUCCGGUGGUGAAAGAUGGUCUCGCGCCUGAUUAGCUAGUUGGUGGGGUAACGGCCCACCAAGGCCAUGAUCAGUAACCGGCCUGAGAGGGUGAACGGUCACAUUGGAGCUGAGACACGGUCCAAACUCCUACGGGAGGCAGCAGUGGGGAAUAUUGCACAAUGGAGGAAACGCUGAUGCAGCGACGCCGCGUGAGCGAUGAAGGCUUUCGAGUCGUAAAGCUCUGUCCUAUGGGAAGAUAAUGACGGUACCAGAGGAGGAAGCCCCGGCUAACUACGUG
rnacentral:rRNA from 1 species